rnacentral:rRNA from 2 species
UAACUGAAGAGUUUGAUCAUGGCUCAGAUUGAACGCUGGCGGCAGGCUUAACACAUGCAAGUCGAGCGGGGGAAGGUAGCUUGCUACCGGACCUAGCGGCGGACGGGUGAGUAAUGCUUAGGAAUCUGCCUAUUAGUGGGGGACAACAUCUCGAAAGGGAUGCUA